AUGGCCAGGUUUUUUUCUGAAUCUGUCCUCAAUCACCACCACAGUCCUCCGAGGUAAGUGCACAAGUGAACUCUCCCUUUCCCACAAUGGGGAAGUUGAGCAAGGAGGGUUUUGUGGCUUCCCCAAAGCCACAAGGCUUCCUGAUUCCCAGGCCCACACAUGGGCCAUCGAACACCGCCACUUCACAGUCACGAUUUGUGUGAGAACUCACAAAUCAAGGUCCUCUGUCACUGAAUGAGAGAAAGGAGUAUUGGCUAAAUACAUCAAAAGGUAUUGUAAUACCUUUUGAUUAUUUUGAUUACCUGCCUGGGUAAUGCGCACAUCACGUUUCCUCAGCAUCUGCUGCUGCUCUUGCUUUCCCCUGAUUCAGGUGCUGUUUCUGCAAAUAAUGUACUUACUCUUUCAUGUCCAGGUCUGUCCUGGAACUGCUGGAAUAGUAACAACAAAUAAGGAGCAGAAGAGAGACACCAAGUGGUCUAGCUGGUGAAAAGAGAUUUUUUUUUCAGAUGUGAACGGGAAAGGGAAUAGUUCUGAUCCAAAAUCUUUUGGUACCAGAGGGUUUUCUUUCCACUGAUGUCACCGGGUUUCAGAGACACCUUCCUGAGAACACAGCACUUGUGGGGGCAGUCCCAGGUGGGAAACUCUGGAGAAGCCAUCACCAUUGUUGUUAUUCUUUCCUUUCCAGGUCUUUCUGAGUACAGAGUCUUUCUGUUCCAUAUGCCAUUUCCUGUCCUCCAGGCUUUGAUUUAAGAGCAGUGAAGGUCCUGUAUCUAUGUAAAUAUUUACAGGAUAUAUCCUGGAUCCUUUUCAAGUCUCAGUUAGCAAAGCCUGUGAUAGACAGGGCAAGAGCUGUCCAGCAGAGUGACUCCUCCUAAGAAAAUGCUUCUGGUACCAAUUAGUGCUGGGAGCAAAAGAAUGGCAGAAAACAGCCAAAAGCAGGAACUGGGAAGUCUGGUGUCCUCAUUUGUGAUCUUCUAACAUCUGGCACACACACAUACAGUGCAAAAGCCCACAGUUUGCUAUGCUUUUACAUUUGUGGUGCAAUAUAGCCCACUCUUAAUUUCAUGCAUCCCCACAAAAAUGGCUUGUUCCCCAAGCCCAGAGUUCUCUGUGGGGCUAAUGGAUUGCAAGGACAAGUGAUUUGUGGUUAAACUGAUGCUUUUGAGGAACAUAUGACUAAGCAAUAUGUUCAGAGGAUUUAAUGAUUUGCAGAGCAUGAGAAAUAAAGUUUUCCUUCUUUACGCUGUGAAUGUAAGCUGAUUUGCAUAUAAAUUGGACCUGUCAAGUGUUCUAAUAUCAAUCAAAAAGUUGCAAAUAGAUCAUUAAUUUAUGUGAAUGCCACUGUUCAUUUUAUUUAUGCUUUUUCCAAAGCAGUUUGAAAAAGCCAGAUGCUGAAAAAUUAGAUAUUUGAGAUUAGGCUUGGAAGUCUGAGAGCUUUGUGUAGACAACGUGAUCAUUUAGAAAAAUGUUACAAGGCAAAAAGCAUGGAAAUGCACAGCCACCAGCCCCUCAUCAGUGUUAAGCCUGUGCCACCCCUUGCUUCUUUCCACCUUCUGCCAGAGACUACAGCCUUUUCCAGCCUGCUGGCACUAAAACCUCUGGCUGCUCCUUGACCCUGAAAGGAGCUACAUUAAACACUGCUGUUUAAGGUCCUCAAGCUAGAGAAGGUCACUCUUGCAGAGCUGCACAAUGGAGUGAUUGCACACACGGCUCUGCUGUAAGAUCAAGGCACAGUAGAGAGCAGAUGAACUACUGGGGCAGGAGCUGUUCUCAGCUGUGCCUUUUUCCAGGUGUCCAGAGGGAAGAAGUAACCUGCACAUUUGCAUUCCUAUUAGUGCUAAGCUAAUGUUUUUACCUGUUCUAUUCAUCCCAUCCUUCUAUUCUGCAUGGCUACAUGAGGAGGUCAGGAAGUCAGGAACACCAUCCUCUUUUCUCCUGUGCCUGGCUGAGUCCUUCUAUGACACAGUAGUCACAUGGGAGUAGACAUUGCAAUAAAUAGGAAAUUCUUGUUCAAACAACAAAAUAAAUACAAUCAAGCAGUGAAGGAUAACAGUAAGAAAAAAUAAAGGCAAGUAAGCCCAGAAAAAGUGAUAAUAACAUUUAUAGUAGAUGCAAAACAGCAAACUUCAGGAAGUUUUAAGUAGUGAAGAUGGCCAUGGAGUUCCUAAUGAACCCAUGCAGUAAAACCAAAACCAGCUCACCCUAGCAUAAGGAAAGGCCAAAAGAUGGUCAGAACUGUGCAAAAGUUUCAGCUGUGCAGCACCUGAGGUUGUGGAAUGUGCCCACAUGCUGCCUUCAAGGGGUGCGUUAGUUCAGGGAACUACUGCAGAGGGUUGCCCCAGCCAAACUCCUGAUGGGCCUGUCUCUAGUCUCAAUGUUGUUCUGCCAACACUGGGCACUCUGUGGCUGAGAACCCAGAGGGAAAUGCCCAGUACUUUAUGAGCUGGAGACACAAUGAAAAAUAGAGGGUAUAUGUUAUACCAAAGGGAAGGCAGCACCUGGUGCAAAAUCCCACAAACUGCCCAGCAGCAAGCAUACAUCUUAAUGUGCCACUGGGAAUUGCCCUCUUCCCUCUGAGCAGCUGGGUCUGCCAACACCAGCUCGGUGCAUGCUGUCAGGUGCCACCAGGUUUGCUCACCCCGUGUCUCUGUGUUAUGCCCCCAUGGAGGGGCUUUUGCUCGCAGCAUUCAAGCUGGUGUUCCUGUCUCACACUGACCAUCAGGAGUUUGCAUCCUCUUAGCAGAGAGAUGCAAAGGCAUAACAGGACUGUGUUUGCCACAUGCUGAAUGGGGAACAGCUGGAGGCAGAUGAUUGUUUGGGUUAUUUGCCUGUUGCCUGGACAUUUUGUUUGCUUGUUUGAGCCCUGAAAAAAUAUGUUUCCAGUUCCUCCAGAGGCUGGUCUGUGUUAAGCCUGUGUAUUGUGCGCUGACUUUAAAAACUGGUGUUUUAUAACUUUGCAAAUGAGCUUCCUGCUGUUUCAGUGGCAAGGCUCCAUAAAUAAGGCAGUCUUCUCAGAAAUUUCCCUGCCACGGAGCCAGGGGGACUGGGGUAGCAGGAGCAGCCAAAACAACAUGCUUCUGGUGUCAGAGAAGCAGAUAUCCCCCAGUCUGGUUCCAGUUGAACCUCUCUCUUCUUGACUGAAUUCAAGUGGCUGACUAAAUGAUAGUGCUGGCUGAUGUUUAUGGACUGUGCUUAAAAGCCACUCAGCUUCCCUCACAAUCAGCUCCUCAACUGGUUUACACCAGCACCUGUUACAAUCACAAUACUGCAUUUUUAACUGCUCUAUCUGUAUCACUUGCACAUAUCCUCUGGUUCCUUACUUCUGAGUGUUUGCUUUUAUUCUGAGUGGCUGGGCAGUACUUCACUCUGUGAGAAAAGUGUCUUUUUUUCUCACUGUGUAGUACAGCAUCUUGGCUGUGGAAAACUGAGUUAAGUAAGAAUAGGCUGGUCAGGAAGCAGAGAGGGUGUUCUUGCCAGUUGAUACUGGAGAAGCAAUAUCAAGAAGAAUGCAGAUUUGGCCAAGGCACUCUCAAGCAGUGCCAUGGGUCUAGUCAUGAGUGAAAUGUGCAGCAAUUCUGCACUUUGGGCUGUGGCAGCUGCACAUCUUCUCAAAUCACAGCAAAAUAUCAGUUUGACACAGAUAUGGGACCAGAGUCAGGGGUUUACCCCCUGCUUCACAAAAUUCAUCCCUUUAGCACCUUGCCUUUGUUUGGAAAUCUCUUUAUUAAUUACUGACCAGACCAAAGCCUGUUUGAUUUGGCAAGUGCAGACCUGAGGGAGGGGGUCAAGGGAAAAAAAAAUACAACAACACUGAGCCGGUUCAUCCCUCCUUGUUUAUUCCACUAGAAAUAGAUUUGGCAGAGUGCUUCAGGAAUGAACUAAUCAGCAGGGAAUUAAUUGGCGUGUUAGUUAAAAGGCAGGAAGAAUGUGGUGAACAAAUUCAUGACUGGAUGGCUGGAGGGUUCAAGCAGCCAGAGAGAAGCAGUGCAUAGUGGAAACUGUGACUAGUAUGAGAAGUGAUACAUCUGUGCCAGAGAGCCAGCGGCUGAGAGCUGCCCAAAAGAACCGGGAGCAAAGAUAACACGGGUGUCCUUGGAGACAGCGUUUUUGAGGAGGGCUCCAUCGCCCAGGCUUUCCUUCCCAUAAGGCUCCCAUGUGUGGGGAGAGAUGGCUAGUUUGCAGGGCUGGGAGUGGGAGGGAGGGGUAAGAGAGGUACAGCUGGAGGAGGCUUCACGGAAAGACUGUGGAAAUGUGGAAAGCAGGGAAAUGAAGAGGGACACGUCACUCGUUGUAAACUGAAAUGCAGAGGGGGUGGUAAGGGGAAGAAAGGAUCAAGGAGGCAGAGAUUUGGAAGCUUCAUCACAGAAGAACUGGCCUCAAGAGCAAAGGGAAGAGUUUCCAUCCAAGGAUGUGAGUUCUUCCUGCUUGUCCAUCCGUGUUCUACCCUGAUGGUACUUUCCAGUACAACUCUGCAGAAGAGCAGAAGACAUAUUUGAAUCGCCUGGGGAUCUGGUUCCUGUUACAGAUGACCCUGCAGACUUUUUCAGCUAGGAACUUCAUUAGUGAAUAUCCACUCGCUGUCUACAAUUCCACCUAAGAGAGGGAAGAUUGCUCAUUUUCAGUGUGCCUGAGGGUCAGGGGGAAGUCAAGAUCCUACAACAGUCAUCAUGGUGACUCUUCCUCUUUUCCUCCUCUUCAUCCUUUUGCCCUGCAGUAAAUCUCAAGAGGACUUUCUGGACCAGCAUCAGAAGUGGAACUACAGAGAAGGCGCUGACAAGGUCAACAUAGAAGGUGUUUACAGCAUUACUCAAACCCUUGAGAAAUGGGGAAACGACAUCUUCUGGCAAAUGAAGCAUACCCUGCUGAACAACCCACAUGCUCUCCUGCCUGAGUUCUCCAGUCUCCGCCCUGUCUCUGCAGCUGUGGACAACCUUGUGAGGGAAGUCCAGUCGAUAAGGAAAAGGCUGGAAGAAUUGAAUGAACGUCUCAAUGUCAUCAGCAAAACUGUCCUUCCCCUUCGACUGAAUGCUCUGCAGAGCCAGAGGCGUGGAAAUACUCAGCUGCGGAGACUCCCGACACAUAGGAGAAGGUUAUAUGCUCGCAGGAGACCUCAGAGCACUUAAUUCUCUACCAGAAAAAAAGGGGAAAUCUUUACUUUUUUUUCAUCUGCUUAAGUCUUUCUCAAUGGGACACUGCUAGAGAGAAAAAAAGUAAAGCACACACACGAGUCAGCUUUGCUAAGGAGACCAGAACUUCUGUAUUUUGUUGCUGCCUUUCAAACCUAGGUCAGUAGGUGAAACCUGACCCUGUUUUUUAAUGAUGGCUGUUUUGUGUCUCAAGCAAAAAAGAGUUGACAAGCUCAGUCUACUUGAGCGUGAAUACCUUUAGUCUAUACAGGCAUUCUUUCUGCUUACCAGAGGAAGGUCAUUUUAUAAAGAUCAGGUGAAUUUCUCUCUCUGCCCUAUUUUUAAAGCACUCCAUCUGAAACAGCUGGGGAAUUUGAACUUCAAAAGUGCUGAACAACUGAUGAAUGCAGAAAGAUGGAUUAGUGCUUGGCACUUCCAGCUGGGCAGGGAGAGGGAGAGGAAGUUAUGUUUCAAAAUACAGCCUUAAUCCAUUGCCCAUGUUCAUACGUUCAGAGGGUGGGUAGGGCUGGAUAACAUUGGUCUGUACAUCAUGCUUCACUGAAGCAUGUAUCAACACUGAAGACGUAUCAGUUGCUAGGGACCAAAUUUGAACAUCCACCUUCUGCAAAGAGUGUUUUUCUAGCUACCUGUAUCUGUGCACUCAGAAUGGUGUUAUUCAGUAGAUAUAUUCAGAAUUUCCAGCACUCUGAAACACACUGAACUGAUUUUUGCCAAGUCCCAUGAAAACCAGGAGAUCUUUGUUUGUUUCCCCCCCCCCCCCAAAACUAUUUAGAUAUCUAAUGUCAAAGAUAGGUGUCUGGAAGGAUUUUCCAAAAUAGCUUAAGAGACUCUUCAGUCCCCAAAAUCACAGAUAAUAUUUCAAUUGGUGUCUAGUUCACAGAGUAUUUUCUCCAAAUGCCAGCACUGACCUCCAGACAUUUUCCAACCUCCUUUAGCACAAUUAAUGUCUGUAGAAAAUUAACAACCAGGCUCUCCAAAGACUUUGGUCCCUCAGGGAUUACCCAGAAUACUUUGCCUUCAGCUUGUCUUUGCCUAUGUCUUCCUGACAAUAAAGCUGGUUAUAAAAAAGAGUGCAUUAAUCAAAUUAUACACGGAAUGGAGGAUAGAGUGCACUUGCCCUUCAGGUCUCUAAAGAUUGAUCCAAUACAUAGAUUUCCAUUCAGCAUUGCAGUCAACUGUGUCAAUGAAAUGUGUUGAAACAUAAGAAGGAGAGCCAGAAAGGAGAAGAAACAGGUUGUCUUUAAGGUCUGGAUGAAGCAAUUUAUGAGAACACAAAUAAAGAAUGGAUUGUGUCUAAGUGAUUGUGGAGGUGUCUGACAUGACAGUUGUUUUGAAAACACUCUCAAGUCACAGUGAGGAUGCAGACUAGCUAUUUAAGGAUUCCAAAAGCCUGAGUUUAUGGAAAGAAAUUCAGUGACAGUACAAUAACCUCAAAAAGGAAAGGGGGAAAAAACUAGUUUCAUAUGAAACCUUUCAGAAUGGACCAGAAGAAUUAACACAGCAAGAAUUUUAGCUGCAACCUGGGAGUUAGUUGAGUGGGGGAGGUAUGGGCAGUGUAUGAGACAAUCUGAUAAAUAUUUCCCUGAUGUAAAUUCUCUGAGUUCAGGUUUUCAGAAAAUAACAAAACUCAAACUUGGCUCUCUUUGGCUUUUGCUUGGGAAUUUGAAACACUGCUUAGCCAGAGAAGGGAAAAAUCAAGACUGAAAAGGCUGAUAAAAGGAUACAGUUGUGCCUUUGUUGAAGUUGUCAUCAUAAUUUCUCAGGAAAUGUAGAGCAUUUUGAUCCCAGAAUAUAUUUACAUAAAUUAUGAGGAAUAACAAGAGAGAAAGGCCCCUAACUUCUUGUUAUUCUGCAUUCAGAGUUUCUAGGCUGUGCUGUAGCAACAGCUGCAUCCUUGCACAGACUGCUGAUCCCUCCAAGGGAUGCUGUGCUUGGAGCUGUAGGGAUUGCUGGUUUUUUUUGGCCUAUCUGAAGGAAGAGUACAACAUAAAUGUUAGCUUUCAUGUUCAUAUUUUAGACACCAGCAUUUUAUCAGGCAACCUGAAGUUGUAUAAAUUGAGGACUACUUGAAAUAGAAAGAUGAGACUUCCCUAAGUCCCUCAAGUUACAGAUGGCUGGUGGCAGGAGGCCAGACCAUGUCAUUGCAUCCUUUUACUUUAUACCUAGAUGUCCACCAGCAGCUUCUGCCAGAGACAGAGGACAGGGCAAGAUGUACUCCCAGUUUAACCCAGCCCAUGUAUUCCUACGCUGAUAUGUGCAAGUUUAUAGUCUUGGCAAAACCUCCUCAGCACAAUGGAGAAGGCCACCAUUUGCUAUAUAAGAGAAUAAUAAGCUGCAGCAUUCAGUGUAUAUUACAAUUCUGCAAUUUCAUGCAUAAUGGUGAAUAAACCAGGUAAUAUAAA